AUGUAAGUUUUUGCGAGAUUAGUUAUUUGUUUAAAUAAUGGAUAAUUUAUAUUAUAUUCUCAGUAACUAAUAUUAUUAAUUAAGGUAACUUAGAGUUAGUUAUACUGUUUAGUAUUGGCUAAAUUUGUGCCAGCAGCCGCGGUUACACGAAUAAUACAAAUAAAUUUUUGUCGGUAUGAGUUAAAUGUUUAUGGUUAAAAUUAAUAUGGAUUUAUUAGGUGAAAUUUAUAAAUUUAUAAUAUUUUAUUUUUGAGAUGUUGAAGCUUUUAAAUUUUAUUUAUAAACUAGGAUUAGAUACCCUAUUAUUUAAAAUAUAGAUUUUAAUACCUAGGUAGUAAUAGUUAUGUUCUUGAAACUUAAAAAAUUUGGCGGUAUUUUAGUCUGUUCAGAGGAACCUGUCCUGUAAUCGAUAAUCCACGUUGGACCUUACUUAAGUUUGUUUAGUUUAUAUACCGUCGUUAUUAGAAUAUUCUGUUAGGAUAAUAAUUUUCUUUAGUUUUUAAGUGAAUUUAUAUCAGAUCAAGGUGUAGCUUAUGCUUAAGUAGAGAUGGGUUACAAUAAAUUUAUUUAAACGGAUUUAGAAUUGAAAUUUUUUAAUUAAGGUGGAUUUGAUAGUAAAAUUAUAAAGAUUGUUAGUUUGAUUUUAGCUCUAAAAUAUGCACACAUCGCCCGUCGCUCUUAUUAUUAAGGCAAGAUAAGUCGUAACAUAGUAGAUGUACUGGAAAGUGUAUCUAGAAUG
rnacentral:ncRNA from 1 species